GACGAACGCUGGCGGCGUGCUUAACACAUGCAAGUCGAACGGAAAGGCCCUGCUUUUGUGGGGUGCUCGAGUGGCGAACGGGUGAGUAACACGUGAGUAACCUGCCCUUGACUUUGGGAUAACUUCAGGAAACUGGGGCUAAUACCGGAUAGGAGCUCCUGCUGCAUGGUGGGGGUUGGAAAGUUUCGGCGGUUGGGGAUGGACUCGCGGCUUAUCAGCUUGUUGGUGGGGUAGUGGCUUACCAAGGCUUUGACGGGUAGCCGGCCUGAGAGGGUGACCGGCCACAUUGGGACUGAGAUACGGCCCAGACUCCUACGGGAGGCAGCAGUGGGGAAUAUUGCACAAUGGGCGGAAGCCUGAUGCAGCAACGCCGCGUGCGGGAUGACGGCCCUCGGGUUGUGAACCGCUUUCGCCUGUGACGAAGCGUGAGUGACGGUAAUGGGUAAAGAAGCACCGGCUAACUACGUG
rnacentral:rRNA from 1 species